GACAGCAGCAGCCACGGUAAUACGUAGGGGGCAAGCGUUGUCCGGAAUUAUUGGGCGUAAAGCGCGUGUAGGCGGCUCGAUAAGUCUGCUGUGAAAGUCCAGGGCUCAACCCUGGAAUGCCGGUGGAUACUGUCGAGCUAGAGUCCGGAAGAGGCGAGUGGAAUUCCUGGUGUAGCGGUGAAAUGCGCAGAUAUCAGGAGGAACACCAAUGGCGAAGGCAGCUCGCUGGGACGGUACUGACGCUGAGACGCGAAAGCGUGGGGAGCAAACAGGAUUAGAUACCCCUGUAGUCCCUGUCUCUUAUAC
rnacentral:rRNA from 1 species